UCUCGUUUGCUACUCCGCGCUCGUUGUUGCUGCUCCGGCAUUGCGUUUGUCAAGCGGCCAUUCCCCGCCAUCGCCCUCCGGCGCUCGCUCGCUCGCUGGUCCUGUCGCUUCCUCCGUCUCUGCUCCGGCGCUCGCUCUUUGCUCCGUUGCUCGCUCCAUCUCUGCUCCGGCGCCGCUUUCCUUCGCGCAUUAAUCUGCUUGGGCGGCCGAGAUUUGGGGAUCCCAUUUCUGCAAUCACCUACAGAGCAGCGUCGACGCCCUCCAGACUCUAGGAUCUGAUAUGCUCGUUCCGAUUAUCUCAGACUCUAAGAUCUUCAUGCUAAAGCCGUAUAUCUGUGGUUACUCAUGUUCCCCGCGAUGUUCUCCUGUAUGUUUCCCUACCUAUAACAGUUAGAUGAAUAUACGCCAUGAUCAACAUGAGAACGCAAAAGUAAUGGAUGAUGGGAAUGCUUCUGUGCACUGAAGGACCCUCUUGCCUUGAUCAAUCGCAAGUUGUUCUGCUUGUUUUGUGGUCCUGUUUGAAUAUUGCAUACUAGGAGCUCCAAUUGCAGGUCCCCAUCGCCUAUUGCAAACAUGGCUGAUGGAAUGCAGCAUCCGUCAGUGAUUCAGAAAAUUCACGGGUAGUCUCACUUUAUAUCUCUUCUUUCGCAUGCCAUCUGCGCGAGAAAUUACGGACUGCACGAUUUCGCGAGCGCAUGGAGCGCUGCGGAGUUCUCUAUCUCCAGCAUUUCGGGGGCAGUGGUCUGGCUCUUCUGUCCUCUGGUUCAAGUUCCGGCUGAGAAAAAAGUGUCCACGUUCUUAGAGGAUUUUCUUAUGGAAGCGGUUUCUGCAGCUGUUUCCAAGUCGAGGAAGCAUGUGGACUUGGCGGAGAGAGUAAUUCCGCAACAUGAGCUCAGGAGGCUUAAGAAAAUUGCUCUCAGGAUGGUGGAGAGGAUGAAAGUUGGGGAUGCAGGGAUUACCCAGGCUUUGGUGGAUUCUAUACAUGAGAAGUGGAGAGAGGAUGAAGUGGUGAAGUUGAAAUUUGAAGGUCCCCAGUCACUUAACAUGAAAAGAACCCAUGAAACUUUGGAGAGUAGGACUGGAGGCUUUGUUAUAUGGAGAUCUGGAAGUUCAGUGGUCUUGUACCGAGGGAUGGUCUAUACGCUUCCUUGUGUCCAAUCAUACAACGAAAAAAUACAGACCAGUGUAAAUUCUCUGAAAAAUGAGGACAUAGCCAGCGAUGUUUUUCAUAGCGAUGGAGGCUGGAUUUUAUGUGGUUCUGCAGAAUAUAUGAAGGAUCCGUCUAAGGAAAAACGCAUGGAUAUGAAUGAUCCUAACAGUUUAUUAGAUGAGUUGGGUCCACGGUUCAAGGAUUGAUCAGGCUGUGAGCCAGUUCCAGUUGAUGCUGACUUGCUCCCCUCAGAGGUUCCUGGAUAGAAACCUUCAUUUAGGCUUCUUCCUUAUGGGGUUAGACAUUGUCUGAGAAACAAAGAGAUGACCAGGUUUCGUAGACUUGCAAGAACGAUGCCUCCACAUUUUGCCCUGGGAAGAAACAGAAAGCUGCAAGGUCUUGCUGAGGCCAUGG